UAAAAAAAAAGAAUCUGUGGAAAAAGAAUCGUUUGUAUUACACACAAUCUGAACACAAACCUUUACGAUGUAAAAAUGGUUAAAAGAGCUGUUUUAAAUGAAUAGCGCACAUUACAUGACUUCUAAACAAAGAUCCUUACGAGGUAAAAAUGUUAAAGUGCUGGAUAAAAGAAUCUCCGUAAUGUUUAAACUAGGAGAGAAGUAUUUUGCAGAGAUGUCUUCCAUUCGCUGUGUAAAAGCAGUAAUGAAGUGAAAAUGAACCCAACCUCUCACUCGCUAAACCCCGCCCACACAUACGUGUUUUCAGACAUCUCUCUCUAGCUGCGUUUACAUGGACAACAAUAAUCCACUCUUAAUCCGAUUAAGACCAUACUCUAAUUAAGAAACUACCAUGUAAACAGCAAUUUUUACUUACCUUAAUCUAAUUAAGGUCAUAAUCGAAGUAAGCAAUAAUCUAAUUAAGACAGGUGGAGUACUCCUGUUAUAGUCGCAUUAUGGAUGUGUAGUAGUGACAUGUAAACACCUUAAUCACAUUAUGAACAUCGUGUGGGAGUUUUCACCGCAUUGUGACACGAUCACACACGGCAGUUUUACGUUUUACGGCGAACAAGAGAGUUCGGCUGUGUCCCAAAUCGCAUACUUGCCUACUAUAGGCCUGUAGUGGGGAAAAAUACAUGUAUCUCGGCUACUAUAUAGACGGUAAGUAUGCGAUUUGGGACACACCCACCGCUUCAAGGAGUUGUCUAUUAGCACGUAUAGCAUGACAAAUAAUUAACUGCACUUAAAGCGUUCGUAAAAAAAAAAUUAAUAAAAACACCCGAAACUGUAUACGGUACCAUAACGAAGACGAACUGUAUGUUCAUACGUCAAAUUCUGGAGGGACAUCGGACGGCGUGGCGCGGUGACGUAAUGACAUGGGCUCUUAAUCUAAUUAUGUUCUAUAACAUGUAAAACGGGAACAUGACUGGAGUAUUCUAAAAGCGACUCAUGUAAACACCUUAAUCACAUUAUUACCUUACUUAGAUUAAGGUCAAUAAUUAGAUUAUUGCUGUCCAUGUAAAUGUAGUCUCUGUCUCUCUCUCUCUCUCUCUCUCUCUCUCUCACUCUCUAAACCCACUCCCAUACGUGUUUCACCGGCAGACAGUACUUUCUGUCAAACUGUCAAUCGAAGUAGUGUGCUAAUUUAUGAUCUUUGUGUUUUUCCUGACUGACAGUUCUGUAGGUACACCUAAUUUAUGACCAGGGGUGGUGGGGGUGGUGGGGGUAACCCUAUCCACUGUAUCAGUGGGACAUUUUGGCCCCUGUAUGUCUGGGUUGUGUCCUUCCCUUCCUGGGGGUGUGUGUUUUGUGUAUUGUGGGGGAUCUCCCCUAACAAAUGUGUUUAUGUAAAUGACACUGUUGUGAAACGUGUUUCUCCCUGAAUUAAUCACACACAAAUGUAUACCUUUUUGUGGUAUAAGAGAAUGUUUGUUUCUGAAAUUACUUUUGUGGUAUUGUUUUAUUUUGAAGCUUAAGGAUGGUUUCGGUGAAGUAUGUUUGAUGUAAGAAAAGAGUAUCAAAUGGUUAAUAUUGGUGUGUUACUAUGUGGGGAUUUCAUUUUGUGUGACCACAUUGUUAUAAAAAGCAUGAUGGUUGAAUGUGAAUAUAUAUGAGCAGAAUGUUUGCUUGUGAAAUA
ensembl:lncRNA